rnacentral:rRNA from 1 species
AGAGUUUGAUCAUGGCUCAGGACGAACGCUGGCGGCGUGCCUAAUACAUGCAAGUCGAGCGAACAUUUGAGAGCUUGCUCUCAGGUGUUAGCGGCGGACGGGUGAGUAACACGUGGGCAACCUGCCUAUAAGACUGGGAUAACUUCGGGAAACCGGAGCUAAUACCGGAUAAUUCACAUCUACUCAUGUAGAUGUGCUGAAAGACGGUUUACGCUGUCACUUAUAGAUGGGCCCGCGGCGCAUUAGCUAGUUGGUGAGGUAACGGCUCACCAAGGCCACGAUGCGUAGCCGACCUGAGAGGGUGAUCGGCCACACUGGGACUGAGACACGGCCCAGACUCCUACGGGAGGCAGCAGUAGGGAAUCUUCCGCAAUGGACGAAAGUCUGACGGAGCAACGCCGCGUGAGUGAUGAAGGUUUUCGGAUCGUAAAACUCUGUUGUUAGGGAAGAACAAGUACCAGAGUAACUGCUGGUACCUUGACGGUACCUAACCAGAAAGCCACGGCUAACUACGUGCCAGCAGCCGCGGUA